GGACGAACGCUGGCGGCGUGCCUAAUACAUGCAAGUAGAACGCACAGUUUAUACCGUAGCUUGCUACACCAUAGACUGUGAGUUGCGAACGGGUGAGUAACGCGUAGGUAACCUGCCUGGUAGCGGGGGAUAACUAUUGGAAACGAUAGCUAAUACCGCAUAAUAUUAAUUAUUGCAUGAUAAUUAAUUGAAAGGUGCAAUUGCACCACUACCAGAUGGACCUGCGUUGUAUUAGCUAGUAGGUGAGGUAACGGCUCACCUAGGCGACGAUACAUAGCCGACCUGAGAGGGGGAUCGGCCACACUGGGACUGAGACACGGCCCAGACUCCUACGGGAGGCAGCAGUAGGGAAUCUUCGGCAAUGGACGAAAGUCUGACCGAGCAACGCCGCGUGAGUGAAGAAGGGUUUCGGAUCGUAAAGCUCUGUUGUAAGAGAAGAACGGGUGUGAGAGUGGAAAGUUCACACUGUGACGGUAUCUUACCAGAAAGGGACGGCUAACUACGUG
rnacentral:rRNA from 1 species